AGGAGAGUGAAGUCAAUGUCAAAAUUGGAACGGCGCUGAUCUGUCAGUGUCAUUCCAAACGAACAAACGACCUGUCAAAACCACCAAAAGAAGAACAAGCAAAAACAAGUAUUGGAUUCGUUGUAUCCCAAAACCAGCUGUUUGUGAAAACAUAUUUCUUUUAUUAUUCAGAUGUUUCGUAGGAGAACGGAUAAUUAAUCGACCCUGCUGCAGCAUACGUAAUGAAAAUCUACAUUCUUUAGCUACUACUGCGACCUCGGAUACCGUUAUGAUUUUCACCGUAUGGAACAAGGAAAUCAUUAAACCAGUUCCUUUGAUUAGAAGUCACAGGAUUUACAAUUGCCAUUAUUUGGAUGCCCAAAGACAGCAAAUCAGAGAACUCACUGCCAUUCGUGCAAAUCAUCCACUCGUGAUUAAGAAAGGCGAGCCCAAAUGGAAGUUUUAGUGCAUGCAGUUUGAAGCAAACGUAAACAAAGUGUUUCCCUUUCGUGAUAAUUUCACGUCGUUAAUCUCGGACAUUUUUGGGACGUCGACUUAACACAUUAAUGGAAAUUCUUCAACAAGCAGCAACCAGAGAAUUAUGGAAAAAUCAUCAUCAUUCUGUGAACAAGUACGGUGCAGAGUCAAGUGCUUUUUGAACCGGAAAAGUACAUGCAGAUGAAAUGAGUUACAAUGUGUUGCAUAAGUUAGCUGAGAGUAAACAACAGUCCACAGUAAUCCUGGCUGUCAAAUCGUGACAUCCAGGUCACACUUCUAGACCCAGACAUCCAGAUCUCCCAGGGAAAGAUUUGAUUUUUUACCAAUCAUGAGGCAUAAUGACUCUUGAAACAUUGAAUGCAAGUGGGGGCUAAAACGCAAAGGGGUGUAAGUGACAUUUUAGUCAAUUAUGAGUUGAGACAAAAAUCUAUAAUUUACAAGCUUUCCAACGGUA
rnacentral:lncRNA from 1 species